CAGAAGCAGAAGAGCACAAACAGUUUCACUGUUUACAUUAUAGUUAAUCGGUAGCCUGCGCAGAAAAUGAGGACAUUCAGUGUUUUACCGACGGUGAUUCUACUACUCACCUUCACAUGCCUUGACAAGAUCUCUGCCUCACCAUUUAUAACAAACAAUUUGAUGCUAGUCCUGAGCAUGGCUCAUAUUGACCAGUUGGAGGAAACGAUUAGUGACAAUAGCGAAUCAGAAGAGUCAUCAGCUGAAAUGUGGAUGAUGCCGUUUGACAUCAGGGAAAACAAUUAUCCUGUCCCCAUUAGAUGCCGGUUCUGCUGUGGCUGCUGUCUCAUGAGUGUCUGUGGCUUGUGCUGUGAAUGAAAUUCUGCUGUGCUCAGAA